AAAAAAACUUAGUUUACUUCGCUUCUUCAACUACAUUCACCACAAAUUUUUACGUAAAAUGCCAAAAAAAGUUUCAAGAAGAGGACGGUAAGCAUUCAGUCAUUAUUGAAACCACGUCCAUAAAUAUCGAAGGACUAACUGCGCCAUUGCUGACAACCCGUCAUAUUGCGUAGCAAGUGUAAUUUCGGAACCUGGCAAAAUUAUUGUUAAUAAUUUACUGUAUGUGAUGAAAUACUGAUAAUAAGUUUUUCGCAUUUCCUUCGUUUUAUUGCCUUAUAACUCUUCAGGUCGACAACAUAUGUAGUCGAAUCGUAAUAACAAAUAUUUUAAAUAAUUAAAUUAAUCUUAAUGCUACAUUUAAUGCAAUUCUGAUGAAAAUAUCAUUUGCUAAACUUUAUGUUAAGUGAAAACUUGGUAAUUUUGGUGCGUAUGCCGCCCAAAUUGAUGAUUUUAUUGGCAUUUAUGAAUCAUGAAACAUAUUACUGUAAUGGAUAAAGCAUUUACAAAAAGAUGGAGAUAUAUGACAUAAAAACUUAGUAUUUCUUCCUACAAUGCACAUACUUUUUAUAAAACCUAAAAUGUCAAAUUGACAUUGUAGUUAAGAAUACAACCACUAAUUUCUGGUAAAAGAUAUAUUGUGCUUUUCAAUAAAUGGCAUGAAAUUAUAA